rnacentral:rRNA from 1 species
GAUGAACGCUGGCGGCGGGCCUAAUACAUGCAAGUCGAGCGAACAGACGAUGAGCUUGCUCCUCUGACGUUAGCGGCGGACGGGUGAGUAACAAGUGGAUAACCUACCUAUAAGACUGGGAUAACUUCGGGAAACCGGAGCUAAUACCGGAUAAUAUAUUGAACGGCAUGGUUCAAUAGUUAAAGACGGUUUUGCUGUCACUUAUAGAUGGAUCCGCGCCGGAUUAGCUAGUUGGUAAGGUAACGGCUUACCAAGGCGACGAUGCGUAGCCGACCUGAGAGGGUGAUCAGCCACACUGGAACUGAGACACGGUCCAGACUCCUACGGGAGGCAGCAGUGGGGAAUCUUGCGCAAUGGGCGAAAGCCUGACGGAGCAAUGCCGCGUGAGUGAUGAAGGUCUUCGGAUCGUAAAACUCUUUUAUUAGGAAAGAAAAAAAGUGUAAGUAACUAUGCACGUCUUGACGGUACCUAAACAGAAAGCCACGGCUAACUACGUG